rnacentral:rRNA from 1 species
AUGGACUUAUAUUAUGUGCUUUGGAGGCAAGGCCAUAUUGAUUUGUCUUUUUGUAGUCAAAAUUUUUCUUUUCAUAUAAGUGAAUGCAUUGUUGUUAUGAGAUUUGUUGUGAAAGCACAGCCGUGUUGGAUCUUCCUGACAUCAGAAGUUCAGAACCAUUCAUUCAACUGGAGCAGAUUGGUUCGCCAGCUAAUCUCUGAAAUUGAUGAUUCUAAGCGACUUAGAGUGAUGGUGUUGUUUUCGAGGCCGUGGCAUGUAAAGAACGAAUUGGUACACUCUAAGCCGUCUCCCCCCAUCGAGGUAUCUGACAGGUUUGUUUGCAGGUUGCAGCUACAUUGA